rnacentral:rRNA from 1 species
AGGUCCCAAGGGUUGGGCUGUUCGCCCAUUAAAGUGGCACGCGAGCUGGGUUCAGAACGUCGCGAGACAGUUCGGUCCCUAUCUGUUGUGGGCGUUAGAAAUUUGAGAGAACCUGUUCCUAGUACGAGAGGACCGGAAUGGACGAACCUCUAGUGUACCUGUUGUAGCGCCAGCUGCACCGCAGGGUAGCUACGUUCGGAUGAGAUAAGCGCUGAAAGCAUCUAAGCACGAAACUCAUCUCAAGAUAAGAUUUCUUUUAAGGGUCGUUAUAGACUAUGACGUUGAUAGGUCACAGGUGUAAAGACAGAAAUGUCAAAGCCGAGUGAUACUAAUUACCCGUAGACUUAAUAAA